rnacentral:rRNA from 1 species
GAUGAACGCUGGCGGCGUGCCUAAUACAUGCAAGUCGAGCGAACGGACGAGAAGCUUGCUUUUCUGAUGUUAGCGGCGGACGGGUGAGUAACACGUGGAUAACCUACCUAUAAGACUGGGAUAACUUCGGGAAACCGGAGCUAAUACCGGAUAAUAUUUUGAACCGCAUGGUUCAAAAGUGAAAGACGGUCUUGCUGUCACUUAUAGAUGGAUCCGCGCUGCAUUAGCUAGUUGGUAAGGUAACGGCUUACCAAGGCAACGAUGCAUAGCCGACCUGAGAGGGUGAUCGGCCACACUGGAACUGAGACACGGUCCAGACUCCUACGGGAGGCAGCAGUAGGGAAUCUUCCGCAAUGGGCGAAAGCCUGACGGAGCAACACCGCGUGAGUGAUGAAGGUCUUCGGAUCGUAAAACUCUGUUAUUAGGGAAGAACAUAUGUGUAAGUAACUGUGCACAUCUUGACGGUACCUAAUCAGAGAGCCACGGCUAACUACGUGCCAGCAGCCGCGGUAAUACGUAGGUGGCAAGCGUUAUCCGGAAUUAUUGGGCGUAAAGCGCGCGUAGGCGGUUUUUUAGUCUGAUGUGAAAGCCCACGGCUCAACCGUGGAGGGUCAUUGGAAACUGGAAAACUUGAGUGCAGAAGAGGAAAGUGGAAUUCCAUGUGUAGCGGUGAAAUGCGCAGAGAUGUGGAGGAACACCAGUGGCGAAGGCGACUUUCUGGUCUGUAACUGACGCUGAUGUGCGAAAGCGUGGGGAUCAAACAGGAUUAGAUACCCUGGUAGUCCACGCCGUAAACGAUGAGUGCUAAGUGUUAGGGGGUUUCCGCCCCUUAGUGCUGCAGCUAACGCAUUAAGCACUCCGCCUGGGGAGUACGACCGCAAGGUUGAAACUCAAAGGAAUUGACGGGGGCCCGCACAAGCGGUGGAGCAUGUGGUUUAAUUCGAAGCAACGCGAAGAACCUUACCAAAUCUUGACAUCCUUUGACAACUCUAGAGAUAGAGCCUUCCCCUUCGGGGGACAAAGUGACAGGUGGUGCAUGGUUGUCGUCAGCUCGUGUCGUGAGAUGUUGGGUUAAGUCCCGCAACGAGCGCAACCCUUAAGCUUAGUUGCCAUCAUUAAGUUGGGCACUCUAAGUUGACUGCCGGUGACAAACCGGAGGAAGGUGGGGAUGACGUCAAAUCAUCAUGCCCCUUAUGAUUUGGGCUACACACGUGCUACAAUGGACAAUACAAAGGGCAGCGAAACCGCGAGGUCAAGCAAAUCCCAUAAAGUUGUUCUCAGUUCGGAUCGUAGUCUGCAACUCGACUACAUGAAGCUGGAAUCGCUAGUAAUCGUAGAUCAGCAUGCUACGGUGAAUACGUUCCCGGGUCU